rnacentral:rRNA from 1 species
CCUACGGGAUGCAGCAGUAGGGAAUAUUGCUCAAUGGGGGAAACCCUUAAGCAGCAACGCCGCGUGGAGGAUGAAGGUUUUCGGAUUGUAAAGUCCUUUUGUUAGGGACGAAAAAGACGAUAGUUAACGAGUAAUCACCGCCUAACUCCGUGCAAGCAGCAGCGGUAAUACGGAGGGUGCAAGAGUUACUCGGAAGCACUGGGCGUAAAGAGGGGGUAGGCGGGAAAGCAAGUCAGAGGUGAAAUCCUAUGGCUUAACCAUAGAACUGCCUUUGAAACUGUUAUUCUUGAGUAUGGGAGAGGUAGGUGGAAUUCUUGGUGUAGCGGUAGAAUGCGUAGAGAUCAAGAGGAAUACUCAUGGCGAAGGCGACCUGCUAGACCGUAACUGACGCUGAUGCGCGAAAGCGUGGGGAGCAAACAGGAUUAGAUACCCUUGUAGUC